UAUGUACCAGCAGGACCCCUGUUUGAUAUCAAAUGCCCACAGGGCACUCUCUCACAGAUACGCUUCCCACACUGUGAGGUGUUUUCUGGGAAAGGACGUAAGCACCUGUCAGUCAUACACAUCAGUGACUCUGAUGAAUAUGAAAUGCUUGAUCCUCACGAGACAACAGAUUCUUAUGUGGUUUUAAAUAUCAGUGGAUGCUCUAAAUAUGGUCUGACAAAAAGUCAGCCAAAGAAGAAAUACUCCCCCAUCAAUGGACUUGUGCUGCUGUUCCUUCAGGAGUCAACACUGAAUGUCUUACUGUUGCCAAAAAAUGUUGACAUCUCUGAGGUAUAUGAAAAAAGGAAGAAGAUGAAGGAACCUACAGAGGAGAUAUACAUUGAGAUAACUCCAAACUGUAAACUUGUCCCUGAAAACACAUACUACCUCUCCUCUGAUCCAGAAGAACAUGAAGUAACUCCUUUGGUAAAGAAAAAUGAAACCAUAUUAUCAUUCAACCUAUAUAAAUAUAAAAUUACCUAUCAAUGUC